AUUGAACGCUGGCGGCAGGCCUAACACAUGCAAGUCGAGCGGAUGAAGAGAGCUUGCUCUCUGAUUCAGCGGCGGACGGGUGAGUAAUGCCUAGGAAUCUGCCUGGUAGUGGGGGACAACGUUUCGAAAGGAACGCUAAUACCGCAUACGUCCUACGGGAGAAAGCAGGGGACCUUCGGGCCUUGCGCUAUCAGAUGAGCCUAGGUCGGAUUAGCUAGUUGGUGAGGUAAUGGCUCACCAAGGCGACGAUCCGUAACUGGUCUGAGAGGAUGAUCAGUCACACUGGAACUGAGACACGGUCCAGACUCCUGCGGGAGGCAGCAGUGGGGAAUAUUGGACAAUGGGCGAAAGCCUGAUCCAGCCAUGCCGCGUGUGUGAAGAAGGUCUUCGGAUUGUAAAGCACUUUAAGUUGGGAGGAAGGGCAGUAAGUUAAUACCUUGCUGUUUUGACGUUACCGACAGAAUAAGCACCGGCUAACUCUGUGCCAGCCGCCGCCGUAACAC
rnacentral:rRNA from 1 species